rnacentral:rRNA from 1 species
GACUCGGUUGGAUGGUCUGCCUUCGGUAUGUACUGGUGUCACUGGUUUCUCCCUUCUGAAGAACCAUCAUGCCAUUCACUUGGUGUGGUGGGAAAUCAGGACUGUUACUUUGAAAAAAUUAGAGUGUUUAAAGCAGGCUCGCGCUUGAAUACAUUAGCAUGGAAUAAUGAAAUAGGACGU